rnacentral:rRNA from 1 species
AGCGAACGCUGGCGGCAGGCUUAACACAUGCAAGUCGAGCGGGCACUUCGGUGUCAGCGGCAGACGGGUGAGUAACACGUGGGAACGUACCCUUCGGUUCGGAAUAACGCUGGGAAACUAGCGCUAAUACCGGAUACGCCCUUUUGGGGAAAGGUUUACUGCCGAAGGAUCGGCCCGCGUCUGAUUAGCUAGUUGGUGGGGUAAUGGCCUACCAAGGCGACGAUCAGUAGCUGGUCUGAGAGGAUGAUCAGCCACACCGGGACUGAGACACGGCCCAGACUCCUACGGGAGGCAGCAGUGGGGAAUAUUGGACAAUGGGCGCAAGCCUGAUCCAGCCAUGCCGCGUGAGUGAUGAAGGCCUUAGGGUUGUAAAGCUCUUUUGUCCGGGACGAUAAUGACGGUACCGGAAGAAUAAGCCCCGGCUAACUUCGUG